GUUCUCGUUCAGAAAAAAGGUCACACACGGCCAGUAUCAAAGGUGCAGAUUUGAGGACAGUGACAUCACAAAAUCAUCGUGUUUCAUAACACUAAACAGGAUUUAAAUGUCGCCAAGAUGAGCGUCGAUGAAAUUUUAAGAAAUUUACCAAUUCUAGUUAUCCUCGCGGUUUCACAUUUCGGUGGGGUUUUAUCAGAAUAUUGUGGAACAACACAAUGUUAUUAUCCAGAGAAAUGUUGUUCGAACGGAAUGACGUGUUGCUAUGACAGUGAUGCCAGUGAUCAUUAUAUAACCUAUAAACUACAUGUAUGGAACAUGUGGUACUUCUGGUUUAUAAUAAUAUUUAUCAUGAUGUCAUGUUUUGGUGGGUGUGGUUAUUAUAGAAGAAAACGAAUGGCAGCCAUGUCACGAUUACAGCAAAGACAACGACAGGGGGCGCUACAAACAUCUAUAGAUUUAAUGAGUAAUA